UCCGGUUUGUCACCGGCAGUCCCAUUAGAGUGCCCAACUGAAUGUAGCAACUAAUGGCAAGGGUUGCGCUCGUUGCGGGACUUAACCCAACAUCUCACGACACGAGCUGACGACAACCAUGCACCACCUGUCACUCUGUCCCCCGAAGGGGAACGUCCUAUCUCUAGGAUUGUCAGAGGAUGUCAAGACCUGGUAAGGUUCUUCGCGUUGCUUCGAAUUAAACCACAUGCUCCACCGCUUGUGCGGGCCCCGUCAAUUCCUUUGAGUUUUAAUCUUGCGACCGUACUCCCCAGGCGGAGUGCUUAACGUGUUAACUUCGACACCACAGGGGUCAAUACCCAUGACGUCUAGCACUCAUCGUUUAAGGCUAGGACUAC
rnacentral:misc_RNA from 1 species